rnacentral:rRNA from 1 species
UACGGAGGGUGCGAGCGUUGUCCGGAAUCACUGGGCGUAAAGCGCGCGCAGGCGGUCUUCCAAGUCAGUGGUGAAAGCCCGGAGCUCAACUCCGGAAUUGCCAUUGAAACUGUUGGACUUGAGGAUGAGAGAGGUGAGUGGAAUUCCCAGUGUAGAGGUGAAAUUCGUAGAUAUUGGGAAGAACACCGGUGGCGAAGGCGGCGACCUGGUUCAAA